AAGUCGUAACAAGGUUUCCGUAGGUGAACCUGCGGAAGGAUCAUUAUUGAAUAAACAUUUGAUAGGCUGUUGCUGGCCCCUUCUGGGGGUAUUGUGCACGCUUGUCAUUCAUUUAUUUAUUUCCACCUGUGCACCUUUUUGUAGACCCUUAGAGAAAAGCAAAUCAAUUGUUUCGAGCAAUUGGGAUAGGGACUGCUGUGCUGUGAAGUGCCAGCUUUUCCUUGUUUCUCUAGGUUCUAUGUUAUUCACAUACUCCUAUGAAUGUAAUAGAAUGUUGAUCUGGGUCUUUGAUGCCCAUAAAGUUAUAUACAACUUUCAGCAAUGGAUCUCUUGGCUCUCGCAUCGAUGAAGAACGCAGCGAAAUGCGAUAAGUAAUGUGAAUUGCAGAAUUCAGUGAAUCAUCGAAUCUUUGAACGCAUCUUGCGCUCCUUGGUAUUCUGAGGAGCAUGCCUGUUUGAGUGUCAUUAAAUUCUCAACCACACUGAUUAUGAUUAGUGUGGCUUGGAUAUGGGUGUUGUGGGCUUCUGUAGUCCGCUCCCCUGAAAUUAAUUAGCAGUACUUUUGGUGGAACUGUCUACAGGUGUGAUAAUUAUCUACAUCCUAGACAUCUGCUGCACUGCUUUCCAAACUUGUAUUGACAAUCUGACCUC
rnacentral:rRNA from 1 species